rnacentral:rRNA from 1 species
GGUACACGCUGUGACUAGCAUAUCAAUAAGCGGAGGAAAAGAAACUAACAAGGAUUCCCCUAGUAACGGCGAGUGAAGCGGGAAGAGCUCAAAUUUGAAAUCUUAAAGGGUUUCCCUUUACGAAUUGUAGUUUAAAGAAGUGUCUUCUGUUGAGGUUUUGGUAAAAGUUCUUUGGAAUAGGACAUCAUAGAGGGUGAGAAUCCCGUAUUUGACCUUUACUUUCAACUUUGUGAUACACUUUCAAAGAGUCGGAUUGUUUGGGAAUGCAGUCCAAAAUGGGUGGUAAAUUUCAUCUAAAGCUAAAUAUUGGCGAGAGACCGAUAGCGAACAAGUACCGUGAGGGAAAGAUGAAAAGAACUUUGAAAAGAGAGUUAAACAGUACGUGAAAUUGUCAAAAGGGAAGCGUUUGAUACCAGUGUUGUUUUUCUGAAAAUCAAUUAAAGAACUGUUUAUGCUAAGUUGUUUAGACUUUAUCAGCUAACUGUUUAGUUUUGAGCUUUUCUUUAAUGCACUUUUCAGUUAACAAGGUCAACAUCAAUUUCUUUUGCUGUAAGAAAGCUUGAGGAAGGUGGCUUGAGAUUCGUCUUAAGUGUUUAUAGCCUCUUGCCUAUGCAGUCGGAGAGAUUGAGGUCUGCAGCGUAGAUCCUUCGGGGCUAAAUGCAUUUGUGCUAAGUUAUAGCAUUUCAUAGACAACUUGUUGACUAUGAUUUGUCUUGUAGCUUACUCGCUUAUGUUAUUUUACCUACGCUUAGGAUGUUGACAGCAGUAUAGACUGU